AACGAACGCUGGCGGCAUGCCUAACACAUGCAAGUCGAACGAGAUCUUCGGGUCUAGUGGCGCACGGGUGCAUAACGCGUGGGAAUCUGCCCUUUGGUUCGGAAUAACAGUUGGAAACGACUGCUAAUACCGGAUGAUGACGAAAGUCCAAAGAUUUAUCGCCAGAGGAUGAGCCCGCGUAGGAUUAGCUAGUUGGUGUGGUAAAGGCGCACCAAGGCGACGAUCCUUAGCUGGUCUGAGAGGAUGAUCAGCCACACUGGGACUGAGACACGGCCAAGACGCGUACGGGAGGCAGCAGGGGGGAAUAUUGGACAAGGGGCAAAAGCCUUAUCCAGCAAGGCCGCGUGAGUGAUGAAGGCCUUAGGGUUGUAAAGCUUUUUUACCCGGGAUGAUAAUGACAGUACCGGGAGAAUAAGCUCCGGCUAACUCCGUGCCAGCCGCCGCCGUAA
rnacentral:rRNA from 1 species